rnacentral:rRNA from 1 species
CCUACGGGAGGCAGCAGUGGGGGAUAUUGCACAAUGGGGGGAACCCUGAUGCAGCGACGCCGCGUGGGUGAAGAAGCGCCUCGGCGCGUAAAGCCCUGUCAGCAGGGAAGAAAAUGACGGUACCUGAAGAAGAAGCCCCGACUAACUACGUGCCAGUAGCCGCGGGAAUACGUCGGGGGCAAGCGUUAUCCGGAUUUACUGGGUGUUAAGGGGGCGCAGGCGGGGUUGCAAGCCAGGCGUGAAAGCCCGGGGCCCAACCCCGGGACUGCUCUUGAAACUGCGUGGCUGGAGUGCAGGAGGGGCAGGCGGAAUGCGUGGUGUAGCGGUGAAAUGCGUAGAUAUCAGGAGGAACACCGGUGGCGAAGGCGGCCUGCUGGACUGCAACUGACGUUGAGGCCCGAAAGCGUGGGGAGCGAACAGGAUUAGAUACCCCGGUAGUC